UGAAUAUCUGUCGAUGGUAGGAGAGCGUUCUAUGCGGGGAGAAGUCUGAGCGGAAGCGCAGGUGGACUGCAUAGAAGUGAGAAUGCCGGAAUGAGUAGCGCGAAAUAUGUGAGAAUCAUAUUGGCCGAAAGUCUAAGGUUUUUGGAGGAAGGUUCGUCCGCUCCAAGUAAGUCGGGAGCUAAGGCGAGGCCGAAAGGCGUAGUCGAUGCACAUACGGUAGAUAUUCCGUAACCGCCGAAGGAUUAAAGCAAAGGGACACCUGCGAAGCGUGUAACCCGGGCGAUGGUUGCCCCGGGCGAAAGGGACCGAAAUUUAGUAGGGAAGUACAUGUAGAGCAGGGCGAGAAAAGCUUUGUGUAUAUCCAAGGCGCCCGUACCGCAAACCGACACAGGUAGAUAGGAAGAGAAUUCUAAGGCCAACGGGAGAAGGGUAGUUAAGGAACUCGGCAAAUUGGUCCCGUAACUUAGGGAAAAGGGACGCUCCAGAGAUGGAGCCGCAGUGAAUAGGCCCAGGCGACUGUUUAGCAAAAACACAGGUCUCUGCCAAAUCGAAAGAUGAAGUAUAGGGGCUGACACCUGCCCGGUGCUGGAAGGUUAAGAGGAGAUGUGCAAGCAUUGAAUUGAAGCCCCAGUAAACGGCGGCCGUAACUAUAACGGUCCUAAGGUAGCGAAAUUCCUUGUCGGGUAAGUUCCGACCCGCACGAAUGGUGUAACGAUCUGGGCACUGUCUCAACUACCCGCCCGGCGAUAUUGUAGUACCGGUGAAGAUGCCGGUUACCCGCGACGAGACGGAAAGACCCCAUGGAGCUUUACUGUAGCUUGAUAUUGGGUUUCGGUAAUUUAUGUACAGGAUAGGCGGGAGACAAGGAAGCCAGUACGCUAGUAUUGGUGGAGUCGCCCUUGGGAUACCGCUCUUAAGUUGCUGGAAUUCUAACCUGCGGCUGUGAAUCCGGUCGGGGGACAUUGUCAGGUGGGCAGUUUGACUGGGGCGGUCGCCUCCAAAAGAGUAACGGAGGCGCUCAAAGGUUCGCUCAGCACGGACGGAAACCGUGCUUUUGAGUGUAAACGCAGAAGCGAGCCUGACUGCGAGGGUGACGGCCCGAGCAGAAACGAAAGUUGGAGUUAGUGAUCCGGCGGUAUGUGAAUGGAAAUGCCGUCGCUCAACGGAUAAAAGCUACCCUGGGGAUAACAGGCUGAUCUCCCCCAAGAGUCCACAUCGACGGGGAGGUUUGGCACCUCGAUGUCGGCUCAUCACAUCCUGGGGCUGUAUUCGGUCCCAAGGGUUCGGCUGUUCGCCGAUUAAAGUGGUACGCGAUCUGGGUUCAGAACGUCGUGAGACAGUUCGGUCCCUAUCUGUCGUGGGCGCAGGAUAUUUGAGGAGCUCUGUCCUUAGUACGAGAGGACCGGGAUGGACGCACCGCUGGUGCACCAGUUGUCACGCCAGUGGCACAGCUGGGCAGCUAAGUGCGGAUCGGAUAAACGCUGAAAGCAUCUAAGCGUGAAGCCGGCUCCAAGAUAAGAUAUCCCAUUCCGUAAGGAAGUAAGACCCCUUGUAGACUACAAGGUUGAUAGGCUGCGUGUGUAAGCGUCGCGAGACGUUCAGCUUGGCAGUACUAAUAGGUCGAGGGCUUGACC
rnacentral:rRNA from 1 species